AUCAGUUUCCCAAAUAAAAAGAGGGAAAUACAUAUGUGUAUAAACGGUGGUGACCACCUAGUAGAAUUUUAAGCCUUUGUUUAAGGAUAUUUUCCCCCUAAGGACUGCAAUUUCCUAAGUUGAGUCAACAUUCAGAACUUCAGUUACCAUUGUCCUAUGUGAGAUUUGUGUGUCUUGUAUCCAAUGUACUAGUUAGGUAUUUCUUUAUAGGCUUUUUAAGAUUUACAGGUGUACCUGAUCAAAAAUAGCUGGAAAGAUCUGAGAUGGUUUUUACUGGAUAAUUUAUUCCAUGUGUACCCAACAGCCAAGCACUUGGCAAAUGACCAAAAAAUAUGAUUUUAAAAGCCAGAAUAGCUCAUGCAAGAAAUAAGUAGCUGAGAGAUAAAGAAAAAAUGGCAACGUUAUGCUUUAAUGGCAAUGUAAACUAUCUAGAAGGGACAUUUAUCAGUUCAACAAGAAUUAAUUUUCUUCACUCUCAACUCCUAUGAACAAGCCUUCUCCUUCUAAAAGGUAGGAAUGUCUGCCCCAGUAAUUAAUUGUUUAUGGGUAACUAGUACAUCACGAAAAUCUCUAUAAGACAUCUUUCUCUGGCACAUAUUUUAUCUUUAUACUAGAUGGAAGAUAACAACCAAGUGAGCUGUUUGUUGAAUAGGGCACACUUCAAAGCCAGGUAUGGAUAUCUGAUUUAAUGCGCAUUAGCAGGACAUCAGUGCAAUUGUUGUGUGAGUACUGAGGCAAGUAGGCAAAUGGCGGGGUGAACUUCACUCCUUAAAAUAGUGAGCUAAACAGACGUGAACUACCUAAGUUGUUUGAAUUUGUUCCACAUGCUCUUUUAAAAUGAUAUAAGACAAAAGAGAUUUAACUGGUUAAUUAGUGAAAAUCUAGUAACAAAAAAUGUCUGGUUAAUUCAUGGAAAAUGGGAACUUUGAAUAAAUUUCAAGAUAACGUUUGAAUUAGGCCAAUAAAGUUAAUUCUUGUGUUUGCAUAAACACAAAGAUUGGAGAAUUGCUGUGUAUUCACCAUUUACUCUUUCAAAUGACCAUUACUUUAUUUAGUACGUGUGUAUUGUGCACCUCCUGUAUGGCUGGGAACAUACCAGUUUCCAAAAAUAAAAUUAGGACUAUGAUAAAGUUUUUACACUCUAGGGUAACAGUUCAGUAAAUAACAGCCACAAUACAGGGUUUGAGAGGUACAGAACCACUAAAAGAGAGGAAAGGGGGCACAAUUUUGUUUGAGAACUAACAGGGUCCAGAAAAGGUGAAGAACUAGGUGGUCUUUGACACAAGUCUUAAAAGAGUAAGUAGGCACUUGCCACACAUAGAGGAAAGAAAGUGUAGCAGACAAAUAGACCAGUCAUGAUUAUUAACUAUCAACUAGUUCAUCUUUUUUAUUUUUUAUUUUUUUGUUCCUUUUUGAGAUGGAGUCUCCCUCUGUCGCCCAGGCUGGAGUGCAGUGGCAUGAUCUUGGCUCACUGUAACCUCUACCUCCUGGGUUCAAGCGAUUCUCCUGCCUCAGCCUCCCUGAUCCCAGCUACUCGGGAGGCUGAGGGAGGAGAAUCGCUUGAACUCGGGAGACAGAGGUUGCAGUGAGCCAAGAUCAUGCCACUGCACUCCAGCCUGGUGACAGAGUGAGAAAGACUCCUUCUC
rnacentral:lncRNA from 10 species